rnacentral:rRNA from 1 species
AUUGAACGCUGGCGGCAGGCCUAACACAUGCAAGUCGAACGGUAACAGGAAGCAGCUUGCUGCUUCGCUGACGAGUGGCGGACGGGUGAGUAAUGUCUGGGAAACUGCCCGAUGGAGGGGGAUAACUACUGGAAACGGUAGCUAAUACCGCAUAACGUCGCAAGACCAAAGAGGGGGACCUUCGGGCCUCUUGCCAUCGGAUGUGCCCAGAUGGGAUUAGCUAGUACGUGGGGUAAUGGCUCACCUAGGCGACGAUCCCUAGCUGGUCUGAGAGGAUGACAAGCAAGACUGGAACUGAGACACGGUCCAGACUCCUACGGGAGGCAGCGGUGGGGAAUAUUGCACAAGGGGCGCAAGCCUGAUGCAGCCAUGCCGCGUGUAUGAAGAAGGCCUUCGGGUUGUAAAGUAAUUUCAGCGGGGAGGAAGGCGGUGAGGUUAAUAACCUCGCCGAUUGACGUUACCCGCAGAAGAAGCACCGGCUAACUCCGUGCCAGCCGCCGCGGUAACAC